UGAACGGAGCCCCCAAGACCUUUCUGGAUGAGGCGUGGCUGUAACCCUAACUAGGGCUUUGCUGAAACUCGAGCGACUCGUCGUAGUCGUCGAAUUCUUCUUCUACUUCUUCUCCCUGGUCUUUGAGAAUGUAGACGGUGAAGCGUCAAGCAUCAGAUCCAGGAUGCCUCGGAAUCAAUAGUGACACAUAAAAGCCAUAAGACAGAAGAGGGAGUUAUGCUGCUUCCGGGAGUGGCGAGUCAUGGCAAUGGAAACCACUGAGCAUUGAUUCAAACCUUCCGUCGCUGCAGUAGUAUAUCCUAUGGCAACAGUAAUAACGACCCUCACUGCGCCUGGAGGCUGAAUCAGUUACUUAAAACACGUAAAGCAUCGGGAGUUAAUGCGCUCAGGGGGCCAUUAAGUAGUGCGA
rnacentral:lncRNA from 1 species